rnacentral:rRNA from 1 species
UACAGAGGGGGCAAGCGUUGUUCGGAAUUACUGGGCGUAAAGGGCGCGUAGGCGGCCCGCUAAGUCGAACGUGAAAUCCCCGAGCUCAACUCGGGAACUGCGUCCGAUACUGGCGGGCUUGAAUCCGGGAGAGGGAUGCGGAAUUCCAGGUGUAGCGGUGAAAUGCGUAGAUAUCUGGAGGAACACCGGUGGCGAAGGCGGCAUCCUGGACCGGCAUUGACACUGAGGCGCGAAAGCGUGGGGAGCAAACAGG